UGUCUUUUUGAAAAUAAUAUAAAGUCUAAUCUGCCCACUGAUUUUAUAUUAAAGGGCUGCAGUAUUUUGACUGUACAAAGGUAGCAUAAUCAUUAGUCAUUUAAUUGAUGACUUGUAUGAAAGAUUGGAUGAAAUAUAAACUGUCUCUUAAUUAUUAAUAUAAAACUUAAUUUUUUAAUUAAAAAGUUAAAAUAAUUUAAAAAGACGAGAAGACCCUAUAGAGUUUUAUAUUUAAAUUAAUUAAGAUUAUUUAAAAUUUAAAAUUAAAAUUAAUUUAUUUAUUAUAUUGGGGUGAUAGAAAAAUAUAUAUAACUUUUUUUAUAUAAAAACAUUUAUAAGUGAUUAAAUGAUCCAAUAAUAUUGAUUAUAAGAAAAAAUUACCUUAGGGAUAACAGCGUAAUUUUUUUUUUUAGUUCAUAUAAAAAAAAGAGUUUGCGACCUCGAUGUUGGA
rnacentral:rRNA from 1 species